rnacentral:rRNA from 1 species
GACGAACGCUGGCGGCGUGCCUAAUACAUGCAAGUUGAGCGCUGAAGGUUGGUACUUGUACCAACUGGAUGAGCAGCGAACGGGUGAGUAACGCGUGGGGAAUCUGCCUUUGAGCGGGGGACAACAUUUGGAAACGAAUGCUAAUACCGCAUAAAAACUUUAAACACAAGUUUUAAGUUUGAAAGAUGCAAUUGCAUCACUCAAAGAUGAUCCCGCGUUGUAUUAGCUAGUUGGUGAGGUAAAGGCUCACCAAGGCGAUGAUACAUAGCCGACCUGAGAGGGUGAUCGGCCACAUUGGGACUGAGACACGGCCCAAACUCCUACGGGAGGCAGCAGUAGGGAAUCUUCGGCAAUGGACGAAAGUCUGACCGAGCAACGCCGCGUGAGUGAAGAAGGUUUUCGGAUCGUAAAACUCUGUUGGUAGAGAAGAACGUUGGUGAGAGUGGAAAGCUCAUCAAGUGACGGUAACUACCCAGAAAGGAACGGCUAACUACGUG